GCUGACGAGUGGCGGACGGGUGAGUAAUGUCUGGGAAACUGCCUGAUGGAGGGGGAUAACUACUGGAAACGGUAGCUAAUACCGCAUAACGUCGCAAGACCAAAGAGGGGGACCUUCGGGCCUCUUGCCAUCGGAUGUGCCCAGAUGGGAUUAGCUUGUUGGUGGGGUAACGGCUCACCAAGGCGACGAUCCCUAGCUGGUCUGAGAGGAUGACCAGCCACACUGGAACUGAGACACGGUCCAGACUCCUACGGGAGGCAGCAGUGGGGAAUAUUGCACAAUGGGCGCAAGCCUGAUGCAGCCAUGCCGCGUGUAUGAAGAAGGCCUUCGGGUUGUAAAGUACUUUCAGCGGGGAGGAAGGGAGUAAAGUUAAUACCUUUGCUCAUUGACGUUACCCGCAAAAGAAGCACCGGCUAACUCCGUGCCAGCAGCCGCGGUAAUACGGAGGGUGCAAGCGUUAAUCGGAAUUACUGGGCGUAAAGCGCACGCAGGCGGUUUGUUAAGUCAGAUGUGAAAUCCCCGGGCUCAACCUGGGAACUGCAUCUGAUACUGGCAAGCUUGAGUCUCGUAGAGGGGGGUAGAAUUCCAGGUGUAGCGGUG
rnacentral:rRNA from 1 species